rnacentral:rRNA from 1 species
UUCCAGACUCCUACGGGAGGCAGCAGUGGGGAAUAUUGCACAAUGGGGGAAACCCUGAUGCAGCAACGCCGCGUGAGUGAAGAAGUCAUUCGUGAUGUAAAGCUCUAUCAGCAGGGAAGAAAAUGACGGUACCUGAGUAAGAAGCCCCGGCUAACUAUGUGCCAGCAGCCACGGUAAUACAUAGGGGGCAAGCGUUAUCCGGAUUUAUUGGGUGUAAAGGGUGCGUAGACGGAGAAACAAGUUGGUUGUGAAAUCCCUCGGCUCAACUGAGGAACUGCAACCAAAACUAUUUCCCUUGAGUGUCGGAGAGGAAAGUGGAAUUCCUAGUGUAGCGGUGAAAUGCGUAGAUAUUAGGAGGAACACCAGUGGCGAAGGCGACUUUCUGGACGAUAACUGACGUUGAGGCACGAAAGUGUGGGGAGCAAACAGGAUUAGAUACCCCCGUAAA